ACAUCCACCUAGAGGAGACCUCGUGAUCAGGAAGGUGAUUUUUUUCCCCAGGGCGCAGCACAUCUCUUUCACUCAAUGCAUGUACUCAAGCCUGUGAUUUCCCCACAUGCUAGAAACCCCACAGUAUCAUCUGUGGUAGGGGAGCACCGCAUUCAUGCUCUGCACUU
rnacentral:snRNA from 1 species